AACCGUGGUUCCAAUGACAACUUUUUCUAGAAUGAAAUUAUACGUCCUUCAUCUGUAAUUAUGACAUUUAUAAUUUGGUUGGCAUACGACAGGGAUUGGGGGGUGUUACCUGGGUUCUUGUGCUCUCGCCUCUGGCCCAUCGAGUAAUUUGAAACAAGGAACCUUACAGAAUUGGAGCUGAGAAAGAAAAUGACAAGGAAGUUAAAUAUAAAGAAAGGAAUGGGAACGUGGUGUGUAAUGGACCUGAGUUUUACUCCGUGUGGGAGGGGCGUGGCGUUGUGGUAACUGCUGUUGGAGACUGGAAAUUUCCACUCUGCGAAUGUGGUGGUCAGAUACAAAGAACACUGUAUCCGUGUAUUUAAUCUGAAGUUGAAGCACUGCUUCUUAACAAGAAGACAGUUGCACAAUGCACGUUUCCUGAGUUCGUCAAGGAGUCAGAAUGAUAUGCGAGAGGAACGCAAGGCCGUGCACCACAGCAAGAACUUCCAGCGGCCAUCACCAGAUCUACCGGACGUAUCAAAAUUCAGUUCACCCAUUAUUUUGCUGAUGUUUAUUUACAAGAUAGUAUUAUUAUUAUUGUUAUCUUAUAACAUUAUUGGCGGUUGAUCCUGUAAAGUCGAAACUCCCUACGUCAUGUGCAUAUGAUGACCAUGCGUUGGAUGGCGAUCAUAUUCGUCCCAUUUCGAGAAUGAACACUGCUUAAACCGGAUACAACUGGAAACCGGAAUCCAAACGUAAUGGAGAUACGGCCUCGGAAACGUGUUUAUGGAAGCGUAGGUUCUCUGCGUCUCUUGUGUAUCUCCUGCCUCAGGCACUUAUGAAUUUUUGCUUUCUGAACGUUUAAAUUACGAGUUAAUUGUAAUUAUAUUAUAGCCCACUGAGAUGGUUUAAACUGAACUAUCUAGGCUAUGGAAAGUUAUAUAAUACCAGUAAUGAAGUUGAUUUCGGCCUGCGGAACGCCACUGACGACUAGUGUGUAUGUUGCAUCUCGUGAUGUCUGUAUGUGGUCGCGUAUGAUAGCUGCUGGAGUACGAACUACAUUUGUAAUAGAAACCACAUGGCGUUGGAAUGUGUGAUAUUUCAGUCUCUUAAGAAAGCAAGAACCUUGAAAAUACUACAGGAUUACUACAAACGGAGUAUACACUUUUAAAUAAAUAUGCUGAUCAAAUUUAUUAAAGCUUUGUUGGUAAGACAUGAAAGUCUGUGUUUUUUCUAAGUUGGCAAGACGUUCAGUUUUAGAAGACUCGAUGAAGUGCUUCUACUUAGAUCGCUGAAUUGACUGUAAGAACUGUAAACUAUAGCCUCAUAGAUACACGGAUCUAAUUCAUAUGAAGUUUUCUUUUCUAUGGGGUUAAAGAUCAGUCGCGUUUGUCUUAAGAACUGGUUUUCUGAAGAUAUCGCUUUUUUUGAACACAACACAUUUCAAAACGUUUGGAACGCAUUUCUCGUAUGUACCAGCGGAACUCGUAUUUAGUACAUAUUUAGUUAUCUAUGAACUUAAGCGUUUGGCGUAUGAGGUACUGUGGUCUGAAAACAUUUGUAGGAAGGUCUGUUAGUCCUUUUAACGUAUUUUUAAAAGUGUACAUUUCGUUUGCAAAACCGCGUAUUUGACAGUGCAUAUUUACUUCAACAUGUAAGUUUUAUAACCGUGUAAGAUUCUGACGUAAGUAAUGAAAAUAUGCUAUAUUUUUCAUUCAGUUGCUACAGGCAAAUGACAAGACCUACAAAAUGUGAUUUGUUAUAAUUCUGGAUUUGAGUUUUUCACCGCGUUGAGUCUGAAGAUGGUGAUCUUCUGUUAAAAUUUGCCUGCUUAAAUAUUAAAAAGAGUGAAUAAAAUAUAUUCUGAAACUAUUAUUGUUUCAGUCAUUCAACAGUAAUUUAUGACUUGAAAUUUUUUCGCUGUCAUUGCUGCUAUGACUAUUACUGCAGUAUAGUCACCUUAAAUAGCAGUUAACAACGGAUGCGUGUUCUUGUAAUCGGGAAGCAAAAGUGGAAGGCAAAGUAGGGAGAUUCCAUAUCGACAGAGGAACAACGGCAGCUUAGCUACGGAUCUGGCAGGAAAACUGACCCUUAUUUGCAAGGAGAUUUGUUUAUUUAUUUAUUCGUGUGAUGUCUCAUUGUUUUUAAACACAGUCUUUCUUGUUUGCUUGUAGUUUAGUUGGUGCAGCCAGCAUAUAAUUAACUAUCGACGUUUUGUGGUCAUUCCACUCUUCAUCUCUUUCAGAUGCAUCUGCCAGGAUCCCCUAUGAGGCCUAUACAAGGCACAAGAACAAAAAGAUGAACAAACAGCACGUCAUUAUCAUCGUCCUCACGUUAUUAGGAUGAUAAGGUGACUGGCGAAUGACGACACAGUGACGUCAUUAAAGGCAAAAGACAGGUGCGCCCGCAACAAAGUUAUAAUAAAGCGCCUUUUGGCUUCCACCUACCUUGUAGAUGGUACAAAUGAUGGCGACAAGGACGACAGUGACGGCAACAUCAGCAAACUAUUGUCUGUCUGUCUGUCACGUUUUUCAUGUGGUUCUCAACUUGACUGGGGAUUUAGUUUUCUUACGGGGGUGUCAACCUGUAUGGUCAGGAUGUCAUUGUUCCUGUAGGGGUAUCAACCUGCAUGACCGGGGUUCAUUGUUCCUUUUGGGAUACUCAACGAGCAUGACCGGUGGGGUGGGGUAGGGUGAAAUUAGUGCAAGAGUGGCCGAAGACUCCACAUUGACCUCGGAUCUGAUCAGUGCAACAAGUACUUAUGUGAUGUGGCAUGAAGAACACCUUUGGAGUGUCAGUGUAUGGACCCCGAGUACAUCGAAACAGUUGGGAAAGAAAGUAGAAUAAAGAAGUCUCGCAAAAGAAAACACAAGACACGGAGUCCAAGAGGCAUGUGGCAUACAGCAAUAGAAACAAGCUUCAGCCCUGCAGCAAAACAGAAGUGCGUGUGACAUGAUUUGGGUUGUUGCCGCGGGGAGCGCUGCUGACCCGAGCGGCCAUUGACCCCACCCACGUGGAACCGGGACACGCACACACGUUAUGGUCCGGCCACCUUCUUAUUCACGACUUUCGGACCCUCAUUUUAUAGGGGUUUCAUAACCCCCUUUGUUACAGUUCAGGGAUGAUGAUACUACCACCACUACCAAACAAAGUCUCAUUUGUUGCUGUCUGUAGAGUGACUGCUUUACAAAAGUAGUUUUGUUGUAAUAAAUGAGCGUCAUGACCAACAUAUAAAAGUAUUUAGCUAAGCGUUUGUUUGUAUGAAUACUGUUGUUAAA